rnacentral:rRNA from 1 species
ACGGGUGAGUAAUGCCUAGGAAUCUGCCUGGUAGUGGGGGAUAACGUUCGGAAACGAACGCUAAUACCGCAAACGUCCUACGGGAGAAAGCAGGGGACCUUCGGGCCUUGCGCUAUCAGAUGAGCCUAGGUCGGAUUAGCUAGUUGGUGAGGUAAUGGCUCACCAAGGCGACGAUCCGUAACUGGUCUGAGAGGAUGAUCAGUCACACUGGAACUGAGACACGGUCCAGACUCCUACGGGAGGCAGCAGUGGGGAAUAUUGGACAAUGGGCGAAAGCCUGAUCCAGCCAUGCCGCGUGUGUGAAGAAGGUCUUCGGAUUGUAAAGCACUUUAAGUUGGGAGGAAGGGCCAUUACCUAAUACGUGAUGGUUUUGACGUUACCGACAGAAUAAGCACCGGCUAACUCUGUGCCAGCAGCCGCGGUAAUACAGAGGGUGCAAGCGUUAAUCGGAAUUACUGGGCGUAAAGCGCGCGUACGUGGUUCGUUAAGUUGGAUGUGAAAUCCCCGGGCUCAACCUGGGAACUGCAUUCAAAACUGUCGAGCUAGAGUAUGGUA